rnacentral:rRNA from 1 species
GGAAUUUUGGUCAAUGGACGCAAGUCUGAACCAGCCAUGCCGCGUGCAGGAUGACGGCUCUAUGAGUUGUAAACUGCUUUUGUACGAGGGUAAACGCAGAUACGUGUAUCUGUCUGAAAGUAUCGUACGAAUAAGGAUCGGCUAACUCCGUGCCAGCAGCCGCGGUAAUACGGAGGAUUCAAGCGUUAUCCGGAUUUAUUGGGUUUAAAGGGUGCGUAGGCGGUUUGAUAAGUUAGAGGUGAAAUUUCGGGGCUCAACCCUGAACGUGCCUCUAAUACUGUUGAGCUAGAGAGUAGUUGCGGUAGGCGGAAUGUAUGGUGUAGCGGUGAAAUGCUUAGAGAUCAUACAGAACACCGAUUGCGAAGGCAGCUUACCAAACUAUAUCUGACGUUGAGGCACGAAAGCGUGGGGAGCAAACAGGAUUAGAUACCCUGGUAGUCCACGCAGUAAACGAUGAUAACUCGUUGUCGGCGAUACACAGUCGGUGACUAAGCGAAAGCGAUAAGUUAUCCACCUGGGGAGUACGUUCGCAAGAAUGAAACUCAAAGGAAUUGACGGGGGCCCGCACAAGCGGAGGAACAUGUGGUUUAAUUCGAUGAUACGCGAGGAACCUUACCCGGGCUUGAAAGUUAGCGACGAUUCUUGAAAGAGGAUUUCCCUUCGGGGCGCGAAACUAGGUGCUGCAUGGUUGUCGUCAGCUCGUGCCGUGAGGUGUCGGGUUAAGUCCCAUAACGAGCGCAACCCCUACCGUUAGUUGCCAUCAGGUGAAGCUGGGCACUCUGGCGGGACUGCCGGUGUAAGCCGAGAGGAAGGUGGGGAUGACGUCAAAUCAGCACGGCCCUUACGUCCGGGGCUACACACGUGUUACAAUGGUAGGUACAGAGGGCAGCUACCCAGUGAUGGGAUGCGAAUCUCGAAAGCCUAUCUCAGUUCGGAUUGGAGGCUGAAACCCGCCUCCAUGAAGUUGGAUUCGCUAGUAAUCGCGCAUCAGCCAUGGCGCGGUGAAUACGUUCCCG